UACGUAGGUGGCAAGCGUUGCUCGGAAUCAUUGGGCGUAAAGCGCGCGUAGGCGGUUAUUUAAGUUGGAUGUGAAAGCCCUCGGCUUAACUGAGGAAGUGCAUCCAAAACUGAAUAGCUAGAGUACGAAAGAGGGUCGCGGAAUUCCCGGUGUAGAGGUGAAAUUCGUAGAUAUCGGGAGGAACACCGGUGGCGAAGGCGGCGACCUGGGUCGAGACUGACGCUGAGGCGCGAAAGCGUGGGGAGCAAACAGG
rnacentral:rRNA from 1 species